rnacentral:rRNA from 1 species
UGGGGAAUAUUGCACAAUGGGCGCAAGCCUGAUGCAGCCAUGCCGCGUGUAUGAAGAAGGCCUUCGGGUUGUAAAGUACUUUCAGCGGGGAGGAAGGGAGUAAAGUUAAUACCUUUGCUCAUUGACGUUACCCGCAGAAGAAGCACCGGUUAACUCCGUGCCAGCAGCCGCUUUAAUUCGGAGGGUGCAAGCGUUAAUCGGAAUUACUGGGCGUAAAGCGUACGCAGGCGGUUUGUUAAGUCAGAUGUGAAAUCCCCGGGCUCAACCGGGGAACUGCAUCUGAUACUGGCAAGCUUGAGUCUCGUAGAGGGGGGUAGAAUUCCAGGUGUAGCGGUGAAAUGCGUAGAGAUAUGGAGGAAUACCGGUGGAGAAGGCGGCCCCCUGGACAAAGACUGAAGCUCAGGUGCGAAAGCGGGGGGAGCAAACAGG